ensembl:lncRNA
CUCUCUCUGGAGAUUUCUCUUCUUGGAGUUUUUUCAGUGAGCCCAGGACACGGCAGACGGAGAAGAGAAGAAGCACCUGCCUGCCCUCCCUCUCAAGCCCCCUGGUUUGUCUACUUAAUUUGCUGCAAAAUUGGAGGAAGCUCUAGAAAAAGUGGCUGGUUCAACUCACUGUGUGUGGUGGAAGGCACGCCAAAGAUGUUUGAAGCAGGUGGAUACUGUGAAGUGGCAGCCUUUCAGCUGAGGAAGCAAGACUUACAGAUGCUCAGACGUCAAGCUCCCCCAGAACAGAAGGAGAAAUAUGAAUGUGCUCUGUGCAGUGUUCCUGGAAAUGCAAUUUCUAACAAAAACGUCUGGAGGAGUGUGGUGGAAAUGUCCAGCAGGAAGCUGUGAAGGGCACAGAAAAGAGAGAAACCCAGAAAGCCACAGAAGAGCAUUGUAUAAAUGCCGUCAAGAAACCUCGUAUCAAAGAUUAGAUAAGAUGUAGAAAGCUAGAAGGGAGAGAACAUUCAGGAGAAAGACAAAACGAACAUUUUGUUCUUCUCGGAAAUGUGUUCAGACAGCAAUUGCUUCAUUUAUAAAGAAUCUUCUCCAGGCAGUUAAUUAGCUUUGUCAGUCAGCUGUCGUAAACCAGAUUAUUGAACUGUUUCAUAUUUGAAAUUCUUUAAACUAACAUCUUGACAUUGCCAGUAGGUGUGUUAAUAAUCUGAAGACAUGAGAAGAAUUUAUUAGCUUUGGUGUGCCUGUCUGUGUUAUGUAGUAGAGAGUUAACUUCAUAUUAUCCAAACACAGCGUGAGCUUUCUCAUGAAAGGUUCUAAUUGCAUUUUGAAAAUGCUAUUAGUUUACUCUGAAGUGGCAAAUAGCAAUAUUGUUGUGUGGGAGGCUCUGUGUACAUAAUAACAAAUCCUAAUGGAGCAAAUGGCAGCUUUGAGAGUGCUGCAAGUGCUAAAGAGAAGAGUGAAAGAAGGAAGAGUUUGCAGUGUUAUUUCCAGCUAGCAGCUUCCAGCAUUCCCUGCAAUGAUUUGACUGCAAACUUGAGCUGUUUUGAUGGCUGUCUGAACGCUGAGUUGGGCUGAAAGUGUGUUGUAAAUGGUCAUAUGCAUCUAUCUGCUUGGUGUAAACAUUUUAGUAGAAGUAAACACUUUUAGUAAAAUGAAAGUCUUUAUUCAAAAUAGAGCUAUCAAUUCUAGCAACACCUGUUACAUAGGAAUAUCUAAAUAUGUGUGUAUAUAUUUGUAGCACUGUUCACUACUUAAUUUGAAGGGCUUUCUUCCCUCACCUGACAGAUCAGCCAGAUGAUGAUAGUUUCUUUUCACUAUAUUCAUUGUCAUCUUAAAUGUUUACUAAUAAAUACUAUCAUAUGAC